rnacentral:rRNA from 1 species
CCAGCAGCCGCGGUAAUUCCAGCUCCGCAAGUGUAUUCCUAUACUGUUGCGUUUAAAUAGCUCGUAGUUGGAUCUGCGUGUUUAGCGCGCGGUGCUACUUAUUGUAGCUACUGCGACGCGACACAAUGUGCUCUCAGCAUGCUCUUUGAGUGUGAAGUGAGCAAGUUUACUUUGAACAAAUCAGAGUGCUCAAAACGGGCGUUUCGCUCGAAUGUUCUUGCAUGGAAUAAUGGAAUAGGACCGCGCGUUCUAUUUUGUUGGUUUUCGGGACGCGGGUAAUGAUUAAGAGGGACAGACGGGGGCAUUUGUACUGCGACGUGAGAGGUGAAAUUCUUGGAUCGUCG